GAUGAACGCUGGCGGCGUGCUUAACACAUGCAAGUCGAGCGAAGCGCUAAGACGGAUUUCUUCGGAUUGAAGUCUUUGUGACUGAGCGGCGACGGGUGAAGGUACGCGUGGUAACCUGCCUCAUACAGGGGGAUAACAGUUAGAAAUGACUGCUAAUACCGCAUAAGCGCACAGGACCGCAUGGUCUGGUGUGAAAAACUCCGGUGGUAUGAGAUGGACCCGCGUCUGAUUAGCUAGUUGGAGGGGUAACGGCCCACCAAGGCGACGAUCAGUAGCCGGCCUGAGAGGGUGAACGGCCACAUUGGGACUGAGACACGGCCCAG
rnacentral:rRNA from 1 species